AAACUAGCUGAGAGAGGAUGUAUUGAUCUUGGUAUUCCGAUUAAUUCAACUGUGGAGAUGGCAAUUCAGUCGUAGAGGUCAAAGGCACAGAGUAAGUUCUCUGGUUCAAAUAGAUAAGAUAAUUCUUGAUAUGAGAACAAGAGGUCUAACGCAAUCAGAAGAUAAAUGGUGCUGGAAGGUACAAGCGGGAUUCAGCACAACAGAAACCUGGAACCUAACGAGAAUGGUAUUUCCCAAGGUUCCAUGGUGGGUAGGUGUAUGGUUUCAAG
rnacentral:lncRNA from 1 species